rnacentral:rRNA from 1 species
GCUUACGGCCACACCUCCCUGAGCGCGCCCGAUCUCGUCUGAUCUUGGAAGCUAGGCAGGGUCGUGCCCGGUUAGUACUUGGAUGGGAGACCGCCUGGGAAUACCAGGUGCUGUAAGUC